CUGGCGGCGUGCUUAAUACAUGCAAGUCAAGGGGGUAGCAAUACAACCGGCGCACGGGUGAGUAACACGUACACAACAUACCAUAUACUGAGGUAUAGCUUCGGGAAACUGAAGGUAAUCCCUCAUAGUAUUGUGAAAGGGCAUCUUUUUACAAUUAAAGUUUCGACGGUAUAUGAUUGGUGUGCGUUUGAUUAGCUAGUUGGUAGGGUAACGGCCUACCAAGGCAACGAUCAAUAGCUGGCGUGAGAGCGCGACCAGCCACACUGGAACUGAGACACGGUCCAGACUCCUACGGGAGGCAGCAGUAGGGAAUAUUGGACAAUGGGCGAAAGCCUGAUCCAGCCAUGCCGCGUGAUAGAUGAAGGCCCUCUGGGUUGUAAAUAUCUUUUAUCUGGGAAGAAACACUUCUAUUCUUAGAAGCUUGACGGUACCAGAGGAAUAAGCACCGGCUAACUCCGUG
rnacentral:rRNA from 1 species